rnacentral:misc_RNA from 1 species
UGUCAGUGUCCAGUUUCCAAUCGCAUGUGUGAUUGUCAGUUGAACUUCCGGUAAAGGGAGAUAAGUGUCCGAUACCCUUAUGGCACAACAAAACAACAUAGCUAUUUCCCUCACAGAUAUCGAAGAAGCAAGGAAACGCAUACAAGGGCAAGUAAAAGAAAGUCCACUGAUACAUCUGAAUUACAAAAUACCUGAUGCGAAGAUUUAUCUGAAAUGUGAAAAUCUUCAACCAAUUGGUUCAUUCAAAUUACGUGGAGCUUGCAAUGCAUUGGGAAAACUGUCAGAUGACCAACUGAAAGAGGGAGUUUACACAGCCAGUGCUGGGAAUUUCGCUCAAGGAUUGGCCUGGAAUACUCAAAAACUGGAUAUACCCUGUAAUGUGGUCGUCCCUGAUCAUGCUCCCGCCACUAAACUCGCGGCAAUAGAGAGACUUGGGGGUCAAAUUAUCAAAGUUCCGUUCAGCGAGUGGUGGAAAGUUAUACAAACACAUAAAUAUGAUGGGAUACCUGGGACAUUUGUACACCCUGUCUCAGACCCAUCAGUCAUUGCAGGGAAUGGGACAAUUGGUUUGGAGAUAUUAGAAAGUUUGCCAGAUGUCAAUGCAGUCAUCGCUCCGUACGGAGGCGGGGCACUCUCAUGUGGAAUUGCCUCCGCUGUAAAAUCGGUCAAACCAGAUGUGAAGGUCUAUGCAUCUGAAGUUGAAACAGCAGCUCCUCUCAAAGCAUCCAUGAUAGCAGACAGACCCGUGAACAUUGACUACAAGUCUUCCUUUGUGGAUGGAAUGGGAGGCAAGGCCGUCUUGGAGGAGAUGUGGCCAUUAGCUCGAAGCCUCAUUGAUGAUUCCAUCGUUGUCAGCCUGCAGCAGAUUGUGGAUGCUAUAAAGUUAAUGGCAGAGAGAAACCACAUGAUUGCAGAAGGGGCAGGUGCAGCCCCUCUUGCAGCUGCCCUGACAGGAAAGGCAGGAAAAGGGAACAUCGUGUGUGUGGUGUCUGGUGGCAACAUUGACACGGAUAAAUUGACAACAAUACUGCAAGGCAACAUACCACAGUGAUGUCAAACUUUAUGUUAAUAGCAAUUUAAGAUACAGCCAUACGGGUAUACUAUAUGUUUGAAAAUAUGAAUUGAUUUUUUUUUAUUUUGGAGAUAGAUGUCGAUUUCAAAUCAGAUACAGUAGAAUCUAGUUGUACUACCACAUUUGACCAGAUAUAUUUUAGAGGUAAAACAUGAGGGUAAAACAGUGAUUUAUAUAGGGAACAUAUUGAAGAAUCAUUAAGAAAAAAAAGGAAAUGAGACAUUACAAAAUAUUGGCUGUAAAAGGGGCAUUAAGUAUAGGUUUUACUGUAUAGUGAUGACUAUUGGGCAUUAUAACAAAGUUUUACUGUACAGUGAUAAUUAAUUGGCAUUAUCACAGUGGUAAUUAAUUGGCAUUAUAACAAGGUUUUACUGUAUAGUGAUAAUUAAUUGGCAUUAUAACAAGGUUUUACUGUAUAGUGAUAAUUAAGGGCAUUAUAACAAGGUUUGACUGUGUAGUGAUAAGUAAGGGCAUUAUAAUAAGGUUUUACCGUAUAGUGAUAAUUAAUUGGCAUUAUAACAAGGUUUUACCGUAUAGUGAUAAUUAAUUGGCAUUAUAACAAGGUUUUACUGUAUAGUGAUAAUUAAUUGGCAUUAUAACAAGGUUUUACUGUAUAGUGAUAAUUAAGGGCAUUAUAACAAGGUUUGACUGUGUAGUGAUAAGUAAGGGCAUUAUAAUAAGGUUUUACCGUAUAGUGAUAAUUAAUUGGCAUUAUAACAAGGUUUUACUGUAUAGUGAUAAUUAAUUGGCAUUAUAACAAGGUUUUACGGUUUAGUGAUAAUUAAUUGACAUUAUAAUAAGGUUUUACUGUAUACCGAUAAUUAAGGGCAUUAUAACAAGGUUUUACUAUAGUGAUAAUCAAUUGGCAUUAUAACAAGGUUUUACUGUGUAGUGAUAAGUAAGGGCAUUAUAACAAGGUUUUACCGUAUAGUGAUACUUAAUUGGCAUUAUAACAAGGUUUUACUGUAUAGUGAUAAUUAUUGGCAUUAUAACAAGGUUUUAUAUUACUGUUUAGUGAUAAAAAGUGGGUAUUAUAUCAAGGUUUUACAGAAUAUCCAUCUAUAUAUAUAUUCCCAUAUAUAUUUUUAAUUUGAUAAAAAUAUUUUUAUAGAUGUUGUAUUAAUAUAUUUUGAAGAAUACUGCUAUAUAAUUACUUACAAUUGUUAAAUAUCAAUGUUAAUGGUGUUUUAAUAUCGGGAAAAAUCUGCCUGAUAGCUAUGUUACCUUUGGACGAAGCAAUAAUAAAACAAGUUUUGGUUCUAUUUUAUAUAUGCAUUUUGUUUUGACAUAUUUUCAGUGAAAUAAAAUGUCU